rnacentral:rRNA from 1 species
UGCCAGCAGCCGCGGUAAUACGUAAGUGGCAAACGUUGUUCGGAAUCACUGGGCAUAAAGCGUCUGUAGGCGGUUUUAUAAGUCAGGUGUGAAAUCCCGGGGCUCAACCCCGGAACUGCACUUGAUACUGUAAAACUAGAAUGCGGGAGAGGUAAGCAGAAUUCAUGGUGUAGCGGUGAAAUGCGUUGAUAUCAUGGAGAAUACCGAUGGCGAAGGCAGCUUACUGGCCCUGCAUUGACGCUGAGAGACGAAAGCCAGGGUAGCGAAAGGGAUUAGAUA